rnacentral:rRNA from 1 species
AUAUUGCACAAUGGGCGCAAGCCUGAUGCAGCAACGCCGCGUGAGGGACGACGGCCUUCGGGUUGUAAACCCCUUUCAGCGGGGAAGAUAAUGACUGUACCCGCAGAAGAAGUCCCGGCUAACUCCGUGCCAGCAGCCGCGGUAAUACGGAGGGGACUAGCGUUGUUCGGAAUUACUGGGCGUAAAGCGCGCGUAGGCGGAUUUGUAAGUCGGGGGUGAAAGCCCGAGGCUCAACCUCGGAAUUGCCUUCGAUACUGCAAAUCUAGAGUCCGAGAGAGGUGAGUGGAAUUCCUAGUGUAGAGGUGAAAUUCGUAGAUAUUAGGAAGAACACCAGUGGCGAAGGCGGCUCACUGGCUCGGUACUGACGCUGAGGCGCGAAAGCGUGGGGAGCAAACAGG